rnacentral:lncRNA from 1 species
GCAUAACCAUUGACAUCACCAUUCUCACCCUUUCCCUCUCUCUCUCCUCCUCUCCUCCUCUCCUCCUCUCCUCCUCUCUCACUCACAACCUUCUUCCUCUUCAGCCCCCUCCUCCACAUUAUUUCAUUCUCUACCUAAUUUUAAGGCUUAAGGCUAUGCCGAUGGCUGUCGAAGUAGCGAAAUCAGAAACCCUAGCCCCAAUCUCAAAUAAACUAAUGUUUCGGUAGAAGCAACCAUCGAAUCGAACAUUUUAGGAGGAACAGAGUCAUCUUGCAGCAACGAGGAAUGCGACAAAUUGCUUAAGUAAGCAAGUUUUUAUUUGGGUGUUCAUACAUUAAUUCUCGCCAAAAACAACGUAAUUUGUAGAGCAAUCAAAUUUCAUGGUAAUUUCAUUUGUUUAAGUUAAUGUGUAUUCUUUUUUAAUUCUGCCAUUUUUACUUAUUCAUAUUUAUCUCUCUCUUCAGUUUAGGUUAGUGUUUAGGAGAAAGUUAAAAGUUUAUAUGCAAAGGGACUGAGACAGGGACUGAGCUAGAUAGCAAUGAUGAUAAGGUACAAAAGGAAACCAGCCUUGUUGGUGAUGGAGAGUAGGGGGUGUGUUUGAGCCUUGUUCUGGUUCUUUUAUUAAAAUCAUCAAAUAUUGGUAAUCCAUUUCAUUUCACCAUAUAUUAACAAUAUCAUAUACAUAACAUAGGGUAACUUGUGGUAACAGGAAGGAUCAUUUGCACAAUAUAGGGUUUGGCAUAGUCCUUCAGGUGCAGUUUUCUAUUUUGUGAGCCAGUACAUUUCAUUUCAGGUUAUUUUAGGGGUUAUGCUUGUUUCUCUUUGAAUCUCGGUUGUUGGUUUUAUUUUUCUGACACUUUAAGUGCAGAGAGCAUUCUCGUCUAAUGCUUCUUGUUAUUGAUCAAGCAAAAAAUUUAAGUUUGCUUCUGAAACAGUUUUGGCAUGCAAUAUAUUGCAUUGUGAUACCCUUUCAAGUUGUAUCCUCGUGUGAAAUAAAGAAUGUUGUUAUAUUGUACAAAGUCAUCAGUUAUAUUUUUUCAAUUCAAAGAUUCUUGUUAUGGCACUAUAUGAUAUUUUACUUUCUCUUAUCUGUUACUCUUUUAAAGUAGUAGACAUCAGUUGUUAGUAAAGUAGUAUCUGUUUAUUUGGUGUAAUAAUACUAAUAAAAAUACCAACUGUACUAUCAAGAAGUCAUGUCCAAUUAUAGUAAAUUUUGAGUAUAGCUUUGAAGUUAAUAAAGCAAAAUAUCAAAAUUGGUUCAGUUCUUGUAGAACUCUUGAAAUUUGAUUGCGGGAGGAUUAAAACUCACUCCCAUAAGUUUAUAACAUUAGAUUUCAAGGUUUACCCUUGAUGAAAAUCAUACCCAACAACUAGAGUUUUUUGCUUUGUAUAAGAAAGCCAUGACCAUGCUGGAAACAAGCCUUGCCAUCUUGUAAAAGCAGGUGGACUGGUAGCCACAACAAUACUAAUUACAAACUUCAUGAGUAUAUUAAAAUUAAGCAAAGUUAACGAACUUGCUGCUAAGUCCCACAGAAUCUUCGCCAACCUUUCAUCUGUUGCAAAUUUGCUUGCAUCCAGUCAUUGCAGCCCUCAAAAUUCUUCCCAAUUGCACCUUUUCACUUUGGGUGGAGUGCUAUAUAUCAAGAAGUGGCUGCCCCUUGAAAAGAAUGGUAUCCUUAAGCUAUGUUCGGAACUCAUAAAUCUUUAAGAAAUUAUUAGUGAUUUACAUGCAUUUAUUUUACUUUAAACUUGUUAUGCUCUAGUUACUACUUUGAGAUGGAUGAUUAAUGCAUUAGGUAGAGUGCAUUCAGCUAAAGGAAACAUCCACGACAAUAGAAAAUUCAGUUUAUUUUGUAAACUGUUCUUUAGUUUUGUGAUAGCUGCUGAUUCUGUUGAGUCUUGCUUUGCUGCUUGCAUGAGAAGAGUAAAGAAUCGAUAUUUCCGGUAUAUAGAAAAUUGUUAUGAAUUUAGUUAGUUUUUAUAGUUUGAUUUUUUCCGAAAUGAGGUCAUUUCAAUGUUGAUUGCCUUUGGAUCUGAGUUUUUGAAGGCUGUCUACAUGCAUUACUAAACUGAGAAAGUUUAGUUAUUUAACAUGAACUGUUACUAUUAUAGUGAAAAGAGAAAUUUUUUUAACAUAUUUCCUGCUAAUUGUUUGGAACAGCGGACAUGGUUAUGGCUAAUAUUUGAUAUACUCUAGCAAACUCACUAGAGUAGUUUUGUUUGAGUUGAAGGUAAUUGAGCUUCAACUUCCCUCAUAAAUUCUGUAAGUAUAGUCCAACUUCAGUAUAUAACUUUUUAUGAGAUCAUUAUUGGUGGAAGAUUUUCUAUCCGAAAAGCUUUUGAGUUAUAAAUACUAAUUGAAAUAUAAUAUUUUUCCAUUUAUAAGUGUACUCGUAAGUCUUAACAAUCAGUAUACCAACUGCUGAACAAAAUUUUAGCUGAAAAUGAAAUGCCACUGAUCUAUAAACUUUAAGGGCUACUCUUAGCUCAUUCAUAAACAGUACCACACAUUAUUAUUUAAUUUGUUAAGAUUCUUAUACACCUCUUUGUGUAAGCCCGGUAUGUUUAGAAGUCUUGAUUUAUGUUUCUUUUACUUUCAAAAAGAUAGGCUAUUCCCAGCACAGCAUAAACCAGAGCAAAAAACAAAGCAUGCCUGGUAGAUUUUCUUCUCAGCAGGUUUGUUUCAGAAUUUGUUAUUGAUGUUUUCAAUGAAUACAUUAGCUUAUUAAUUUUAUUGGGCUUGUUCAUCUGGAGACUGGAACUUUGAGGGUGUAUCCAAUAUUCAUUUUAUAUUGCUAUGGGAUUCGCCUUUUUGCAGGCUGCUAAGGAGACAUUGAAGAAAAAGGAAGAAAACUCAAAUAGGCAAGAACAGACUGAAUGCAAGGUUACUAUCAUUAUGGUUAUCUAUAGAUAUUUGUUGCUUCCAUUUUGGAUAUGCAUAUGAUCUUUUUUUCUUCUUUCCAAUCAUUUUUUUUGUUGUCCAUAACAUUUGUAUGGUAUUUGGUAUUGAAGAUUUACUUUGUUUUGUGAUAUUGUUUUGAGUUUCAUUGUAUUUUAUCUACAAAAGGGACCAUUUGACUUUGGUUUUGAAAGCUAGGAAUGCUAGUAUGGAGUUAUCUUCCUCACAAAUAUAGUUAUAAGUUGUUCAUAUUCAGUGAACAUGAAUUAGUCAAAUCUGUGGCUCCAAUUUUAGAGUUUAACUUUCCUAGCCUGCCAAUCUGACGGGUACUACUCCUUUGUUUUCUUGUUGUUUUCGUUUUAUAUACAUGAUAUUUGUUGGGUCAUUGUUGCUAUUAUAAAAAAUGAAAGAGCAACCCAUGUUAUAAAAAAUCUAUUGCUAUUGAAAGAGCAGCCCAUGUUAUAUGCUAUAAUGACUUAGCUUUCUUGAACAAUUUUUUUGUUGAAUCUAAUAUGAGAGGGAAGGGUGCAGUACUGAUGUUGUAUCUAUUGGGAGGUGGGGAGAAUAUAUUUUUUGUUUUUUGAAUUAAUGUUUGUUUUCCUUCUACUAGAGUAUACAAAUACUAUCCUUUCAUCGUGUUUUGCAUUUGAAAAUGUGGUUUAUUUUGUUCCAUACUUAAUUGGUGUGUGACAGGCUAUGCUCCCCCUCCCUUUUCUUUCCUAAUUCUACCAAUAUCUUUCGUCUCUAGUUGUUGCUGAUUGAAUAACCAUGGCUACGUAAAACAACCAUGUUGCCCACAUUUGGGACAAUUAUAUUGUUUUUUUAGUAAUCAUGAUUGUUGAAGUUUUGUUUAGAUUUUUUUUUUGAAAUUGUUUUGUUUGAAGGCUUAACUGUGUUUUGAAAAAUUUAGUUCACUGGCCAAUUGUUAAUUUAAUAUGUUUGGAAAUUAUAUUCGUCACUAUUUUUCCAUAUAUUUAGAUGCCGCAAUAGAGAAUUACAGUAUCAACUACUCGUCAUUAUAUUAUGUCCUUAUAUAAUUGCGAAACAUUCUUGAUUUGCUUCUCAUUAACCACUAAAGGUCCAACACAUUUUUUGUACUGGGUUACAUGAUCAGUUAUUAAUAAUGUCAAAACUAAUUCCUUGAACUAGAGAAGUUGAUAUCUUUGAUUUGGUAGAAAUCUAUACGUCAUAACUAUUGUUAACGUGUUUAAAAUUUAUGCUUUGAUUCUAUCCUAAGUACAGAGCAUCUAAAACAUCUUAUAAGUUCCUAAUUAUAACGUGAUUUUUAUAGAAAAGAAAAAUAAAUUUGACUCCGAGUGUGCCAAGUACUUGUACGUACGUACGUGCAUACAUACAUACAUACAUACAUAGGUGUGAGUAUGUUACAGUAUGUGAUACACCAUGAACCGUAGAUAUGCUAUAUCUAAGAUUUAACCAGAUUUUUUAUUUAUUUAUAAAUUUAUAACAAUGAAAGACCAAGCAUUUUGAAGUUCACCUUUGUGUGAGAUUUCACUUGUGAAGGAGCUUAUUUCAACUUUCUAUGACGAGUUACUUGAUCAGAUAUCAAUAUUUACUUGUAAAGAGCUUAUUGCAACUUUCUAUGCUGGGUUACAGAUGCUUUAUACCUUCAAUAUUUACGUGUCAGGAUUCAUGACAUUGUUGGGCAGCUCAUAUGAAUAGUGGAAAAGACAUGUUCUUAAACUUAAUGUUUAGACAUAAGAUGCAACCUAAUGAACCCAUUACUCAUAAAUAGUGCACUUAUUUACUCAUGAGGACCCCUUGUGAAUUCCAUAGAUGAUGUGUAUGGGUAUGCUUACGAUUUACACUCCCUUCGUCCCAUAAAAAGAGUGUAUAACUGCAUAUUUGUCCCACAAAGAUGGUCCUUUUUUAUGGAUAGUAGACAAAAUAACACAUCAUCUGUGAAUUAAGCAACUAUUGUGUUUAUGGUUUAUGUUCAUAUGAACUUAAUACAUGAUCAAUGAAUUAAGCAGUGUUUUUUUUAACUGUUUGGUGAAUUUGAGCUUAAGAUCAUUAGUUGCUUGAUUGCAUUUGACUAAUAAUAUUAUUGUUCCAUAUUUAUGGGCCUAAAAAGAUAGCAUAAGUUUUUUAUUAAUGUUAUAGAUAUAGUUUUGGAAAAUUCACAAUUUAUUAUUUAAACAUUUCUUUCUUUAUAUACAUUUCUUUUUUAAUUUCAUGUCUAUAUGUUUUUUUAAUUUGCAGAUAGAGUUUUUUGUGGAAGGUCAAUAACCACAAGGUUGAAGGUUUUAAUUAAGCAUUUUCUUAGGACAUGGAUUUCAGAAUUUUAGCUUUUUGGAUUAUAUAAUUUGGUUUUGUGGUACUUAGAUUAUUUAAGCAACUAUUUAUUGCCUAACUAGUUGGGUAUUUUGUUGAAUCGGUGAAUCUACUAUUUUUUUAUAAGAUAAUUAUUUUUUAUUUUAAUUGUUUAUUGCCUUUUGUCUCUUAUAUUAUAUACAGGUGUAAAGUUGAUUUAAAAAGCUCACUAAAUGUAUUAUAUUGUCAUUAUAUACAUUCAUUUAGUUAUGACAAUUGAUCGUCACUAAUAUUAACUAUUUGGUGACAAGUUAUGCCGUCAUUAUUAUAUACUACCUUCGUCCCGCAAUAAGUGUUUUUUAGCUUAAAUCACACAUACUAAUAUACAAGCUAAAAUGACAAAAAUAUCCUUAAUAUAUUUUCUUUGGAAAGAGUUAAUGAGUGUCAUUAAUUGUAGUGAAUUUUUGUUUUGUGCUCAGCCCAAAAACAUUACUACUGCAAGUCUUCACAUAAUCCUACAUCAAUAUUGACAUAAUCCUGCAGCUUCUCUUUCCUCAACCUUUCUACUUCUCAAUUUUUUCCCGCCAACUCUUCAAGUCUUCACAUAAUCCUGCAACUUCUCUUUCUUCAACCUUUCUAUUUACCAAUUUUUUUCCCGCCAACUCUUCAAGUCUUCACAUAAUCCUUCUCCCGCCAUAACCUCUCUCUGCAUCUUUUGGUUUAUUUGUUUCUCCUCUUUUAGUGAAUUCCAUUUGGUUGAUUCUCAGUGACCCUAGC